CAAUAGCGUAUAUUAAAGUUGUUGCUGUUAAAAAGCUCGUAGUUGGAUUUCUGCCGAGGACGACCGGUCCGCCCUCUGGGUGAGUAUCUGGCUCGGCCUGGGCAUCUUCUUGGAGAACGUAGCUGCACUUGACUGUGUGGUGCGGUAUCCAGGACUUUUACUUUGAGGAAAUUAGAGUGUUUCAAGCAGGCUUACGCCUUGAAUACAUUAGCAUGGAAUAAUAAGAUAGGACCUCGGUUCUAUUUUGUUGGUUUCUAGAGCUGAGGUAAUGAUUAAUAGGGAUAGUUGGGGGCAUUCGUAUUUAACUGUCAGAGGUGAAAUUCUUGCAUUUGUUAAAGAUGGACUACUGCGAAAGCAUUUGCCAAGGAUGUUUUCAUUGA
rnacentral:rRNA from 1 species